GCUCUGCGAACUGGUGUCUGACGACCCCCGCUGCCGCCUAAGCCUCGAUGACCGAGUUCUGAGCAGCCUCGUACGGGACACGAUCGCCAGGGUGCACGGAACUUUCGGCGCAGCCGCCUGCUCCAUCGGCUUCGCGGUUCGAUAUCUCAAUGCCUAUACUGGAAUAGUGCUACUUCGAUGCAGAAAAGAAUUCUAUCAGCUUGUGUGGUCAGCUCUUCCCUUCAUCACAUACUUGGAGAACAAAGGACACCGUUACCCAUGCUUUUUCAACACAUUACAUGUGGGAGGUAGGAGUGAGGUGGUAUGGCUACUGAUUUUCAAUUGGUGACACGUUCACAGUUCAGUCUAAACUGGUGGGUGGGUCUUGCUGCUGUCCCGCUAACAAGACACUUCCCCCUACCUCUGAAAGUCUGUAAGGUCGAGAUCUUUCACAAGCUGUUGACCACAGUAACUCAUAUGCCAGGUACAAUAAGAACAUGUCAGAAGUUCCUAAUUCAGUACAACAGGAGACAGCUGUUGAUCUUGUUGCAGAACUGCACUGAUGAAGGAGAGCGGGAAGCUAUCCAGAAGUCUGUGACAAGAAGCUGCUUAUUAGAGGAGGAGGAGGA
rnacentral:lncRNA from 10 species